GACGAACGCUGGCGGCGUGCCUAAUACAUGCAAGUCGAGCGGACGAAUCGAAAGCUUGCUUUUGAUUCGUUAGCGGCGGACGGGUGAGUAACACGUGGGCAACCUGCCCUGUAGACGGGGAUAACACCGAGAAAUCGGUGCUAAUACCGGAUAACACGAAAUGUCGCAUGACGUUUCGUUGAAAGACGGCGCAAGCUGUCGCUACAGGAUGGGCCCGCGGCGCAUUAGCUAGUUGGUGAGGUAACGGCUCACCAAGGCGACGAUGCGUAGCCGACCUGAGAGGGUGAUCGGCCACACUGGGACUGAGACACGGCCCAGACUCCUACGGGAGGCAGCAGUAGGGAAUCUUCCGCAAUGGACGAAAGUCUGACGGAGCAACGCCGCGUGAGCGAAGAAGGCCUUCGGGUCGUAAAGCUCUGUUGUUAGGGAAGAACAAGUAACGCAGUAACUGGCGUUACCGUGACGGUACCUAACGAGAAAACCACGGCGAACUACGU
rnacentral:rRNA from 1 species